rnacentral:rRNA from 1 species
GCUCAGGAUGAACGCUAGCUACAGGCUUAACACAUGCAAGUCGAGGGGCAGCAUGGUCUUAGCUUGCUAAGGCCGAUGGCGACCGGCGCACGGGUGAGUAACACGUAUCCAACCUGCCGUCUACUCUUGGACAGCCUUCUGAAAGGAAGAUUAAUACAAGAUGGCAUCAUGAGUCCGCAUGUUCACAUGAUUAAAGGUAUUCCGGUAGACGAUGGGGAUGCGUUCCAUUAGAUAGUAGGCGGGGUAACGGCCCACCUAGUCUUCGAUGGAUAGGGGUUCUGAGAGGAAGGUCCCCCACAUUGGAACUGAGACACGGUCCAAACUCCUACGGGAGGCAGCAGUGAGGAAUAUUGGUCAAUGGGCGCAGGCCUGAACCAGCCAAGUAGCGUGAAGGAUGACUGCCCUAUGGGUUGUAAACUUCUUUUAUAAAGGAAUAAAGUCGGGUAUGGAUACCCGUUUGCAUGUACUUUAUGAAUAAGGAUCGGCUAACUCCGUGCCAGCAGCCGCGGUAAUACGGAGGAUCCGAGCGUUAUCCGGAUUUAUUGGGUUUAAAGGGAGCGUAGAUGGAUGUUUAAGUCAGUUGUGAAAGUUUGCAGCUCAACCGUAAAAUUGCAGUUGAUACUGGAUAUCUUGAGUGCAGUUGAGGCAGGCGGAAUUCGUGGUGUAGCGGUGAAAUGCUUAGAUAUCACGAAGAACUCCGAUUGCGAAGGCAGCCUGCUAAGCUGCAACUGACAUUGAGGCUCGAAAGUGUGGGUAUCAAACAGGAUUAGAUACCCUGGUAGUCCACACGGUAAACGAUGAAUACUCGCUGUUUGCGAUAUACAGCAAGCGGCCAAGCGAAAGCGUUAAGUAUUCCACCUGGGGAGUACGCCGGCAACGGUGAAACUCAAAGGAAUUGACGGGGGCCCGCACAAGCGGAGGAACAUGUGGUUUAAUUCGAUGAUACGCGAGGAACCUUACCCGGGCUUAAAUUGCAGAUGAAUUACGGUGAAAGCCGUAAGCCGCAAGGCAUCUGUGAAGGUGCUGCAUGGUUGUCGUCAGCUCGUGCCGUGAGGUGUCGGCUUAAGUGCCAUAACGAGCGCAACCCUUGUUGUCAGUUACUAACAGGUUCCGCUGAGGACUCUGACAAGACUGCCAUCGUAAGAUGUGAGGAAGGUGGGGAUGACGUCAAAUCAGCACGGCCCUUACGUCCGGGGCUACACACGUGUUACAAUGGGGGGUACAGAGGGCCGCUACCACGCGAGUGGAUGCCAAUCCCCAAAACCUCUCUCAGUUCGGACUGGAGUCUGCAACCCGACUCCACGAAGCUGGAUUCGCUAGUAAUCGCGCAUCAGCCACGGCGCGGUGAAUACGUUCCCGGGCCUUGUACACACCGCCCGUCAAGCCAUGGGAGCCGGGGGUACCUGAAGUGCGUAACCGCGAGGAGCGCCCUAGGGUA